ACCUUGUUGACCACGUACAAAGCAAUUGCCCGGUCUGUGGUAAGUUAUGCAGCGCCAGUGUGGUCUUACAAUCAAAGAAAUUCUGCUGUGGAUCACAUAUCACCAAAACUAAGAGCUGGAGCAAGUUUGCUUCAUAUUUGCUUACAAAUGUGAAACAAACCAAUCGGGCUAGAUACGCAUUCACAGCAGUUGCGGAAGACGCAGCUGACAAGGUUUUAGAGAAAUAAAGACUGACCAAAUAUCCAACGCCACGGAAGUGGAUCUGCAAAAGAUUCGCCAUAAUCUACUGCACACGGAUAUCAUGUUGCCGUACGUGUUUAAAAUGGAUACCUUAGAACGCAUUAACAGCAUUUGGAAGAGGGUCAAAGAAACGACACGAACCAACAUUAAAGACUUUGUUGAUGCUGAGAUACGCAAUUUGCUGCAGGAAAAACCGUUACCGGCACACCCAUUCAUUUUGCACUACAUUUCUAGCUCAGCUUUGGAAGCGACCAAACAUUAUACUAAUAGGCCCAUUUUGGUCGUUGCCAAAAGUGAUGGCAUAGUGAAAGCCAGAUGCUGUGUUCCCAAGAUAAUUACUAAUGAACAAUGCUCUCAAUGUUGCUCUUGAUACCGUGACAUUUCGUUUUCAGAAAUUUCAAAUGGAAAACUUCAAUGCUGACAAAUGGUUAAGUCAGUUUGCUUUCCCGUUCAAUACUCAGAUUGCCGCACCUAAAGGACAAGAUCCUCAUGACGUUUGCAAUAUGAAAGGCAAGAAAGCUUCGAAGCAGUUUGAUGAUCAACUGGAAAUUGCUAUGCAAAAGGCCUACAAAUCUGCAGCACAACAUUUGAAGAGUUUUUUAUUUAGUUUUUAAGGA
rnacentral:sRNA from 1 species